rnacentral:rRNA from 1 species
UACGGAGGGUGCAAGCGUUGUCCGGAAUCACUGGGCGUAAAGCGCAUGUAGGCGGCGAUUUAAGUCGGGGGUGAAAUCCCAGGGCUCAACCCUGGAACUGCCUUCGAUACUAUUUUGCUAGAGUGUGGAAGAGGUUGGUGGAACUGCAAGUGUAGAGGUGAAAUUCGUAGAUAUUUGCAAGAACACCGGUGGCGAAGGCGGCCAACUGGUCCAUUACUGACGCUGAGAUGCGAAAGCGUGGGGAGCAAACAGG